CCUAUUCUCGAACUCCGAACGGGCAAGGAGCCGGGGUCGCCCGAUCGGACCCCGGACGUGAAGUCGACGAUGGUCGGUGGGCUGGUUUUGGUAAGCAGAACGGGCGAUUCGGGAUGAACCGGAAGCGGGGAGAAAGGGCCCGAGAUUGCGUCGACGCGGAUCCCGAAAAGGGCGUCGAUCCGUCGCGACAGCGGGACGGUGGUCAUGGAAGUCGAAAUCCGCUAAGAAGCGUGUAAAAACGUACCCGCCCAACGGAUCGGCCCCGAAAAUUGAUGGCGCUCGAACGCAACCCUCGAACCCCGCCGACGGAGGCUAGGGGAGGCCCCGUCGAGUAGGCGGACGCGCGGGUCGCUUCGACGCUCUCGCGCGAGCGGGGGCGGAGCGGCCCGUGGUGCAGAUCUUGGUGGUAGUAGCGAUCACCCAGGCGAGAACCCUGAGGGCCGAAGUGGAGAAGGGUUUCUCGAGAACGGCACUCGCUCGAGAGUUAGUCGAUCCUAAGCUGCCGGCGGCAGCCACGAAACGGUCGAUCGGGCGCGAGCCCGGCAGCCACGACCGGGCAGCGAAAGGG
rnacentral:rRNA from 1 species